rnacentral:lncRNA from 1 species
AAGGGGGCAGCUCCAGAUCCUGGAGAAGUUAAACGAGUUACUGACCAAUGUGGAGGAACUGAAGGAGGAGAUCAAAUUCCUUAAAGAGACGAUUCCAAAGCUGGAGGAAUGUAUACAAGAUGAACUUGGAGUGAGGGUAACAGUUCAUCAGGUCAGUCCUCAGCACAGAGCUAGAAAAAAGAAGACAACGACGACGACAGUCCAACGUCCAGCUACAAGCAAUAGUUCAGAGGAGGCAGAAAGUGAAGGAGGGCACUGUCUGAACUCUGGACACACAACUGAGAACCAAUCAGUCCCGUAACUUCAACCACUUUCCUUUAAGAUGAAGCAGGAUGCUGAAGAGGGAUGCUCUCAGGCAUUUUACCACGAGAGGCCCCAAAGGUGAAGGCGCACACAGAGCAUUCCCAGUGCUUAGCAUCCCGUGUAAUUAGGUGCUCGCUUGACCCACCUGGCAAAGACAAGGACUUGCCGAGAGACUGAAGGUGUCACCCAUGCGAACACUGACUCACCUGCAGCUGUGAAAGGAGACUGCUGCAGAGCAGAGACGCUCUUCCCAUGGUAUAUUACAGCUAACACUGACACAGAAGAACAGAGUUUCCCGGUCCCUAAGGCUCUUAACACACACAUAGAGGAUCUAAAGUUGGAUGUCCUCCUUCAGAAGGUAGACCACUUACGGCUAAAUGAGGCUCACAAAAUGGAGAGUUUCGAGCUACUUUGUGACCACAAAGAGAAGUUUAGUGAAGAAAUAGAGUUUCUGUGGCGGCUUGUCCGUGCCUAUGGA